UUACCAGGCCUUGACAUCCUCGGAACUUUCCAGAAAUGGAUUGGUGCCUUCGGGAACCGAGAGACAGGUGCUGCAUGGCUGUCGUCAGCUCGUGUCGUGAGAUGUUGGGUUAAGUCCCGUAACGAGCGCAACCCUUGUCCUUAGUUGCCAGCAUUUCGGAUGGGAACUCUAAGGGGACCGCCGGUGACAAACCGGAGGAAGGUGGGAUGACGUCAAGUCAUCAUGGCCCUUAUGGCCUGGGCUACACACGUGCUACAAUGGCUGGUACAGAGGGCUGCAAAAGCGCGAGCUGAAGCUAAUCCUACAAAGCCAGUCGUAGUCCGGAUUGGAGUCUGCAACUCGACUCCACGAAGUCGGAAUCGCUAGUAAUCGCGAAUCAGAAUGUCGCGGUGAAUACGUUCCCGGGCCUU
rnacentral:rRNA from 1 species